UUUUUAUAAACUCAGAUAAAAGAAAAUCAAAAGUUUCAACAACGGAUCUCUUGGUUCUCGCAUCGAUGAAGAACGCAGCAAAGCGCGAUAGGUAAUGUGAAUUGCAGACGUGAAUCAUUGAAUUUUUGAACGCAUAUUGCGCCUGGUGGAAACGCCAGGCAUACUUGUGUGAGCGUCAUUUCUUCUUCCAACUAGCGUUUGCUAGUAGGGUCCUGCUCCUAUAUCUAGGAGUUAAAGAAAUGACUGGGUCAUGUUAACAACAAUGGCCUGUAAAUCUUUUUUGACCUCAUAUCAAGUAAGAGUACCCGCUGAACUUAAGCAUAUCAAUAAGCGGAGGAAAAGAAACCAACAGGGAUUGCCUUAGUAGCGGCGAGUGAAGCGGCAAAAGCUCAAAUUUGAAAUCGGCGUUAGUCGAGUUGUAAUUUGUAGACUGAAUUCUGANAGCGACCUUGCUCAAGUUCUCUGGAACGAGACAUCAUGGAGGGUGAGAAUCCCGUGAUGCAAGGCCCC
rnacentral:rRNA from 1 species